rnacentral:rRNA from 1 species
AAUGAACGCUGGCGGCAGGCCUAACACAUGCAAGUCGAACGGAUCCUUCGGGAUUAGUGGCGGACGGGUGAGUAACGCGUGGGAACGUGCCCUUUGGUUCGGAAUAGCCUCGGGAAAAUGGGAGUAAUACCGGGUCAGCCAUUCGGGGGGAAGAUUGAUCGCCAAAGGAUCGGCCCGCGUUGGAGUAGGUAGAUGGUGGGGUAAUGGCAUACCAAGCCGACGAGCCAUAGCUGGUUUGAGAGGAUGAUCAGCUACACUGGGACUGAGACACGGCCCAGCCCCCUACGGGAGGGAGCAGUGGGGAAUCCUAGACAAUGGGGGAAACCCUGAUCUAGCCAUGCCGCGUGAUCGAUGAAGGCCGUAGUGUUGUAAAGAUCUUUCAGUUGGGAAGAUAAUGACGGUACCAACAGAAGAAGCCCCGGCUAACUCCGUGCCAGCCGCCGCCGUAAAAC